UACGGGGGGGGCAAGCGUUGUUCGGAAUUACUGGGCGUAAAGGGCGUGUAGGUGGCCAACUAAGUCCGACGUGAAAUCCCCAGGCUUAACCUGGGAACUGCGUCGGAUACUGGAUGGCUUGAAUUCGGGAGAGGGAUGCAGAAUUCCUGGUGUAGCGGUGAAAUGCGCAGAUAUCAGGAGGAACACCGGUGGCGAAGGCGGUCUCUGGGCAUUACCUGACGCUGGAGGAGCGAAAGUGUGGGGAGCGAACAGG
rnacentral:rRNA from 1 species